rnacentral:tRNA from 1 species
GAAGGUAUGAUUCAGUGGGAGAGUGCAUGCUUAGCAUGCACAAGGUCCUGGGUUCAAUUCCCCGUACCUCCA